rnacentral:rRNA from 1 species
CCUACGGGAGGCAGCAGUGGGGGAUAUUGGACAAUGGGGGGAACCCUGAUCCAGCGACGCAGCGUGAGUGAAGAAGUAUCUAGGUAUGUAAAGCUCUAUCAGCAGGGAAGAAGAAAUGACGGUACCUGAGUAAGAAGCCCCGGCUAACUACGUGCCAGCAGCCGCGGUAAUACGUAGGGGGCCAGCGUUAUCCGGAAUUACUGGGUGUAACGGGAGCGUAGACGGUGAUGUAAGUCUGGAGUGAAAGGCGGGGGCCCAACCCACGGACUGCUCUGGAAACUAUGUGACUGGAGUGCAGGAGAGGUGGGCGGAAUUCCUAGUGUAGCGGUGAAAUGCGUAGAUAUUAGGAGGAACACCAGUGGCGAAGGCAGCUCACUGGACUGUAACUGACGUUGAGGCUCGAAAGCGUGGGGAGCAAACAGGAUUAGAUACCCGAGUAGUC